CGGCCCCUGCGACUCCUGGUGCCCGGCUGGGACACGUGGGGCCGGCUUUGCGGAGUCAGCAGGGCCAAGGUGCGCGGGGUGCGCUCCCCCCCGGAACCCCGCCCCUUCUCACCCCAUCUCGCUUUUUUGGGAGAGGAGAGUGGAGCCGUCAGCACCCACUGGCAGUGUCGGUGCUGUGCUGGGAGUCCUCCCAGACCAGCCCACUCCUCCUGGUUUGAGCUUCCGAUCCAUCCCUACUCCUUUACGGUUCUUCUUCCCCGUAGUUAACCUGCGGAGAGGAGGAGGUACUGUCUCCGCACAAGGUACUGCGGAGGUACCUUGCGGAGGAACCUUGCGGAGGAGGUACUGCGGUGGGGAGGCAGGGGGGAGGCGCAUCUGCCUCCGCACAAGGGGUCUAAUGGCUUGCUUAUUCCUUCUAGGCCAGGUUGAAAGGUUUUUAAAAGCAGGUGGGGGUGCCAGGAUAGUGAGAAAAACAAGAAAAGACACUGCUUUUUACCCCAUGCGGGGCAGAGCUGGUCUCCUUUCUGCAGGUGUUGAGGGGAGUUGAGUAGGAGCCCAGAGCUGGUACAGGCCCCGUUUAACGUGCCCCCGCAGAGUGAGGGCUGGGGGUCACCCCAUAGGCAGGGGAGCCCUUCUGGGAGGGAAUUCCUGCUUAGGUGGGAGGUUGACCUGAAUGACAUCUAGGUCCUCUACCUCCCAGAUGCCGAAUUUUCAGGGAAGGAACCAAAUGGAUGUAUGGCCCAUGCCUGGGUUUGAAUCCCAGUUCUGGCCUUCAUUCCUCCAGGCCUCCAUUUCCUUGUCUGCACUAUGGGGCCAUGGUGAGAACUCUGAAAUAACACCAACUGCCUGGUGCUUGGUAGGUGCCACAUUACAAAAGCGGUGGGAAGGAGGCCCUUUGGUUUCCAUGUCGGUGGUCAUGUCCCACAGUCCCCGUUGCCAUCCUGAUUAUGGAAAACUUCAUUUCAUGCUCCAAAUGUUCCUCAAUUCCUGGCACUGUUCUAGGUCCUGCACCCAGGCUGGUAUGAAAAAGGUGCCGAGAAGGUCCCAUGCAUCACCAGCCUGGAGGUAGCAGCAGAAGGGAAACCAGUGCCUCUGAGAGUGGGCAACUGUGCCCCAUCCACCUCCUCUUCUUCUUGGAGAUCUCAAGAUAAGACAAGAGACAUCAACCUGGGAUUGGGUUUCUGGGCAGAGAGUAAAAGUGAGCUCCUUCUGCCUGUGCACGCAGCUUCCCUCGGUACUGGGAUAGCCGAGAUCCCUUACUAGAAGCAGCUCACAAAACCUCCCCCAGUUACUGGGAUAGCCCAGACACCUUCCUAGGGCAGCAGCGGAAGAAAGAAGGGGACAAAAUACCAACGACCAGAAAGAAGAAAGAACUUAGCCUCAGUCACCAGCCACUGGGAGCUGAUAGUAACUGAAGGGAUGGAAAGCCCUCUGGGACAGUUUUAGUGGGAGCCCUCCAGAGCCUGGAGAGACUGCAGGUGGAGCAGGAAGGUGGGGAAGAAUUAGAGCAGUGACCCCGGCCACUUUUGGCCUCACGGUUCUGCACAAUGAGACAUUGCUCAUCUUCAGAGAACCGUGCCAUUCUGGCCAUCUGGCAUCCUAGACAAUUUUCCACUGUCUCUCAGUAUCCAGCCAUCCAGCCAUCUAGCCUCCUAACUACUUCUCUGUGCUGGUCCAGCCCAGUGCUCAGAGUUAGGAUAUUUUUAUGAAUAAAACAGACCUAGCUUCUGCCCUCGUGGAGCUUACAGCGUGGGGCGAAAGGAGACUGAUCAAAAUGCCACACACAUGUAAUUUACAACCUUGGGAAGUGCCAAGAAGGGGAAGUGUUGGGUGCCACUGAGAACAUUCACAGAGGUUAACCUGGGGCUGAGGUGGAGGAAAGGUCAGAUGGAAGCUGUCUAACCACCCUGGGCUUCUGGCUUAGGAUGUGUAGGGCUAGCAGCUCAGCCCAUGAGGUUGUGUCUUGAACUUGGGUAUUGAUGGAAUAGCUAUAGAAACAGAACAACCAUGAAGUGAAGAUGGUGAAUGAAGAUCCUCUCAUCAGCUUGCGAUUGCAUGACAGAGGAGGCUGCAAGGACACUCAGGUGUGAAGACGGGUGAGUUGCCAGUUCUGGAGUGCAGAUGUGGUUACCAGCAGCCUCUGUUUUGGAGGCUACUCUGAAGCCAUAUUCAGCUUGGGAGGCCUCCUGCAGGGUUGACCCAGUUCUGGAACAAACCAAGGUGUUUGGGUCUGAACCAGGGCCUGAGCAGAUCCCAUCCCAUAUCCAGCUGAACUGUCUCACCCAGUCUGCAUUGAGUAUCGGUCCCAAGUGGAGGCCACAGGAAGAAGUGCUGUUCCCUAGUGGUCUUAGAUGCUUCAUCAGCUAAAGCGUGGGGCUCAGUCUCCUGGUGUCCACCUGUAAAAUGAAAGUGGUGUCCCAGAGUCUCUCCAAAGCUCCUUGUGGUGACUCUAUGGUCCUAAGAAACCGUUCACUUUAUAGGCCUAUCUCAGUGCACAGCUGAUGCCUCUGAUGCAGGGGUGGCUGUGGCUGUGCUGCCGCUCCUAUGGGGGAGGCAUCCUGGCCAGCACGCUCUUUGCACCUGAUGACUCCCUACGGCAGCUGCACAGCACUGCAGUUAGAAGCCCAGGCCACGUGGAUUUCAGCCCCGGCCCUACCACUCAGUAGCUGUGUGACCCUGGGCCAGGUGUUUGACCUCCCAAGGCACCCAUUUCCUCAUGGAGGUAAUAAUAGUAUCUAUAACCUCAGUUUACCACACGGAUGAAAAGACAAUGCAUGUAAGGGUUCCUCCGCGGCACCUGGCUCAGUGAGCAAUCUGUAAUUGUGAGCUGUUGUCAUUAAGAGGCCGUGGGAACACUAGUCGGUGGUGUGUAUAUCCAGGGGUGGGUGUUGCUUCUGGCAUCUCUCCUAAAUUCAAGCUGAUGAUGAAAGUCAUCAGAGAGACAGAACAAAAUACCCCACAAGCUAUGACAAAAGGAACCUGUAUUUCAUAAAUCAGAGAAGAGUAAAGGACAGAGACCAAAGCCAAUAACUAGUGUUUAAACAUGCAGAGAGAAAGAGAGACAGAGAGAGAGAUGUUUCCUCUGCCUUCCACUACCAUGGGCAGGUGGGAAAUACCACCGACCCUGGGGACCCUGGGAUGGUCCCUGAGUGGGCCGUGUGCCAGGAGCCUGGCCAGAGAGCCAAGAGUGGUCAUGGCCCCCUGGGAGUUCUACUCUUUUCUAGGCAGCAGCAGUGACUGAGACCUUGUACACAAAACUCAUUCAUUCAAUCAGUAUUUAUCUAGGACUUCCAGAAACAGUGCUAAGCUGUGCUGGAGAGUGAUAGUAAAAAAGACACAGUCCCUACCAGCGAGAGACAUUGGGUCCAGCUGAUGAGUAAGACAAGCCAACAGAGUAGGGCAACAAGACCAGGAUCCCUUCGGGGCAUUACUGAGCACACGGCCUCGGUCUGGAAUUCUGGACACAUUCUUCACCUUAACUGGGGGUGCAUUGGGGAUUUAAAACCCCCAAGAGCCAGGGAUCUUUCCCACCCAAGCUAAUUUCUGGGCAGCUGUGCCACUGCAGGGCAUGCAGAAGGAAGAGAGCCUUCCAGAGGAAAGUCGCCUUGUUCCUUGCUUUGUGACCCUCAUCUCUGCGAGGUAGAGAAGAAAAGGAGGGCUCUUCCAUCGGGAGCUUCCAAGGUUCCGGGUGAGAGCUAGCCAGCUCUGCAUUUGGAGCAGAGAGAGACAGGAAUUUGGGACACUAGGUCACAAGUUGGUCUCUUCCUUUGUCAGCAGUCCAUUCAACAUGGCAAUGCCCACACCCACCUCACAAGGCAUGGAUGACACAAAGAGAUGGCUUGCCUGCAAGAGACCCAGCUGGUCUGGAGUUGGAGGCACACUUCAUUUCUCUGCCCAGCUCGGCAGGCGGCUGGAGCAAACCAGGAGAUCGCCUCAAAUGUUUUAAAUGUCAAUAUGGUCCCUUCUUGCUGGCUUGCCAAGAUUUGACCAGCUAAAUUGGCCUGUGUGGUGUGUUCCCUGCAGUGCACGGAACGUACUGGCUGUGAGCAGCCCUGGGCCAGGGCAGAGGUGAACUUGACAAUCAUGUGGACGCUGGCUUUUGAUUACUGCUUCUUCUGGGCUCACGCUACCCAGGGCUCUCUUUAGACCAUCUCUAGGUGAACUUUCUGCCCCAGGAAUGAUCACCUCCAUUUUACUGGUGAGAGGUUCAAGGACUUCCCUUCCUUCUUUCCUCCCUUCCCCUUCUCUCCACUUCCUUCUCCUUCCCUCCUACAUCAUUUUUCCCUUUCCUUUCUUCCUCCCUUCCUUUAGCAAAUAGCCCUGGAGCAGCUGACCGGUUCUAGGAGCUGAGAACAGGGUGAUGGGUAAGAGGGACAAGGGCUUGCUCUCACGGUGUUUACAUUCUAGUGGGGGCAGGAGACAAGUCAACAGAUCAAUAAUUUCAGAUAAGAACAGCUGCUCUAAGAAGAACAACUGGGGAGUGAGAUGCAGUCCACUUUAGGCCGGUGGUUGGGGACGGCUUCUCUUGAGAGGUGGCAUUUAGGGGACUAAAUGGUAACAAUGAGCUGGCCUUGGGCAGGUCUGGGGGCAGAGCCAUCAGUGCCAGGGCACAGAGCUAGGAAAUGCAGAGCAGCUGGUACCCACGACUGGUCUUGCCUGAACCCCUAAUCCUUGCUCUUUCUGCCACAUCCUGCUUUCCCACUUGGCCAAAGAAUUGUGGUUGGCCAAAGGUGGGGCUAAGCUGUGCAGUGGGAGGGGCCAGGCUGAGCUGGAGGUGGCCAGGAGCCUCCUGGUACAGGGCCCUGGUGCCAGUGUCCUCACCCUCCCAGAAUCCUGUUCAUUUGUGUUGAGGACAUGGGGUGAAGGAUCUGAAAAUGCAUGCGCAGGCAGACGACCCACCCAGGCCAUUCACAGCCGCAGCAGUUUGGGACUCUCCGCUUGGCCCAGGUAGGGAGGCACUUGCGGUCCUUCCCAGGCCUGCCGUGAGGCUCCAGGGCCAGCGCCUAUCCCCAGCCCCAAGGAGGCACUCCGAAGAACCUAUUUUAAAUCUCAGCUCAGCAUUUUUGGCCAACUUACAGAGAAGCUGCAAGAUGAGUAAAGGAACUUGCCUAUAUUUUUUAUCUAGAUUUACCAGUUGUUGACAUUUGCCCAUCUGCUUUGUCAUUGGUGCUCUCUCUAUUCUGUGUGUGUGUGUGUGUGUGUGUGUGUGUGUGUGUGUGUGUGUGUGUGUUUGUGUUUGUU
rnacentral:lncRNA from 1 species